GUAUGGUUGAGGUUGGCACAAAUAGUGUGAAAAGGCACAAGAUUGAUCUAGUUUUGUUUUUCCAGGAUUGCAGAGAACAACCUUGACCUGCAGAAGGAGGAGGACCAUGAGAAGGAGGUGGAGGUUCUGAGGAAGGAGAUCCGGAGGCUGAAAGGAGGAGAUAGUGGCUACAGAGAACAGACAGAGGAGGAGGCGCAGGUUAACACUGAUUUACAGGAAACCAGGUCAUCAUACAAGCUCACCAGGCACGUCAAGGUGAUACCCGAGUUACGUAAAGAUCUUCACAACCUGCAGACCCAGAAAGAUGAUCUGGGCAGGAAGAUGAAGAAUCAGUCAGAACAGGCCAGAGCCAAGAUGAGUGUGAUCACAAGACAACUUCUUUGUGGCAUGGUUGAAGAGGAGGUCAUUUCCAGGUAGUCUAAUGGCAUUAUGCAUUUCCUAAAAUUUGUGAGAAGAAAAGUUCACUUUAGCCUUAAGCAUUACACAUGUUUCCGUUGAAAGGUUGACCUCCGACAGUCCAGACCAGAUCUAUGAAGUUGGGAAUUUGUCGACUGCAUUUGAUGGACUGCAGAAAGCUUGCAGGUUUGAGACAACACCUGUACAUUUACUGACUAAAGUAUGCUACUUGUUUAGCUAACUAAGGCAGUGUUUCCCAACUCCGGUCCUCCAGUCCCACCAACAGCCCAACCCCUUACUGUAUCUACUGUAUCUACUUAUACUGUACCUUCUACUG
rnacentral:lncRNA from 1 species